CAAAUGGCCAUUGGUCAGAUUUGAACCAGUCGACUGCUUUCAGCCAUGGCUGAACCAUGGCACCUGGUUCCCUGCUAAACCGAGUCCCCCGCCCUGGCUGGGAGAGUUCAGGGAAUAUCUCCUUCUGUUUUGGGUGUGCCUCUGUACUCUCACAGAUGGCAAUUCAGGCACCCUGCAUGUAAAACACCAAGCUGAUCUUAUCACUAGAGGGUCAUUGCUCUGGUCUACUGAUCAGUAUGCUUGUGGCUCAGGGGGAAGAGCAUGCUGUGUCCUAAAUGGAAUACCCUGGUGGUUCAACCCCUGGC
ensembl:lncRNA